UUUCAUUUCAGAUGUACAGGAAUAGACAUUGAUACAAAAUUCGACUGACAAAUUUGAUAUUUAAGGAUGCCUAGUGCAUGAAAAGUAUGUAUGUAACUUUUGGUCGUACAUUGCAAAUUUUUUAUUCAGUUGCUGGAAAUAUGACACGAUUCCACACAUCUUACUUAAAACCAAUAUUAUUGAGAAUGGUAGUUUAUUACUACAUGUAAAUUGUUUGUUUAGCUCUCAAUCAUAAGGAAUCAAAAAACGAGAAAAAGAAUAGAAAAAAACGAUUUUAAAUUGUACCAUUUUUAAUUAACAAAGAGUGUACUCAAAAAAUUAAAUGGUUGCUAGCAUCAUUCGUAUAUAAAACGACUUUUGAGGAUCACGACAAGCCGUAAAAAUGUCUAAUUCUGCUGUCAAAGGACGUGCUAUUACAUGUAUAUUAAAGUAAGAUUUUGAGAUUUCUGGAACAUUUGAGUUUGAUAUAUUUGUUUUUAUAUUUUUGUUGGCAUAUCAUUAAAAUUGCCUGCUAGAAAAAAAGUGGCUGCUUACUUGAUUGGCUGCUAAAAGAGGCUGCCAGCUUAAGUCCAGUUAAAGAAUCUAUCAUUAUGUUUUUACAACGACAUAUCGUUAUUCUCGUAAUAUACAUGUAAACUCAAUAAAACAUUACAACUUAGAUACGUUCGUUGUGAGUUAUUGCUUUAUCUUUGUUUAUUUUUAUCAUUACGUCCUUAGGACUCCAACAUUUAAAUUAAACGAAAACAAUCAAUAUGUCACGUUGAAAGGUCUAGCCAUCGUUCAUUAGAAUUACUUAAAUAGGAACGUAUAACGUCAACAAUUUGAAAUGUUUACAGUGGUUUGAAAUCCAAGUGAAGUGAUGGAUGAGAAAACUAAAUGAUAUUCGAGUUUCAUUUAAAUUUUCAAUCGUUUAAGUCAUGCUUACUUUGAUGCAAGAUCUUAAAUAAUGCAAUGCAAACAAAUCAUAUCACCUUCAGUUUAAUUUCAAAAUUGUUACGACGUUUCCGUGAUCCAAUACCACCCAAUAAUAUGUGUCUAGCAAUUAUAUGGUGUUGAAAUUCACGUAUAUAUAUAACAUCUUAUUAUUUGAUUUGUUAAAAAGAAAUGCACUUUUGCACAUUACAGACAAUAGUUAGCUUGGCCCUCGUUUGCUUUUAACAUUUGUAAUUAACAGUGUCAUAUAACCAUUAAAACGAUAGAUGAUGUUUUUCUGAACCUGAACAAAUAAUGAAAGCAUGAGGUAAGCAACAGUUAAAAUGCUAGAAAUAAUACAUACAAACUAGUUAUCAUAACUUUGAAUAAUUUUUUUGUAUGGUUUUAAAAUCUGCCACAUAGCGAAUAUUUUUUCGAAUUUAAAGUUUUUCCUUGUGGACUCCUUUUAAUAUUUAUUUUGGACCAGGAAAUCAAACAGCAUGUAUAUUAUGAUGCCUCCCGCAAUUUAUACUUUACCAAUAUCUUCCGAUUUUUUAGGUUAACUGAACUGCCAUUAAUGAAACACGAACUUCCGUAUGCAAUUUUACAGAGCAUCUCUGGUCGUUGUCUGAUAUUAUUUAGUUACAUAGUGUGGUAGUGACCUAAUACGAUAUAUAUGGAGUCAGUAAAUUCCAUAUAGGGUGAAAACGAAGCUCGGUAAAUUGCAUAUUGGGUGACAGUGAAGCUCGAAUCCCUAUUUGGAAUUUACUGAACCCAUAUAUAUUAGGUCAAUAGCACACUCUGUAACGAAUUGAUCUUACCGACUAUCUUAACAUGUGAUAUUAAGACAAGUGGCCUAUCAAAGUGAUCAAGUCUUCAAUACCGUUAGUAAUAAGAACAUACUUCCAAUGGUCUAUACAACCACAAAUGCAAACAAUAACAACUUGCUAGUUUUGAAUGUAUUUUAUGAAUUUACUUCAAUCGUUCAUCAUCAAGAUGUAACGGUCAUAGAACAACAUCGUCCAUACUUUGUGAAGACGCGUCGCCAAUGUUUUUGUUUCGAAAAUAAAUUUCCUCUAUAAAGUAUUUAGAUAUAUGAAUGCAGAUGGUUGUAUUGACUUUUAAAUGGUUUAUGCUGUAUUUACAUUGUUUGGCAUGUUUUUAUGUAUUAUACACUUGGAAUAUGCAUUAUAUAUAUACUUCCGCAAAUUUACAGACCUAACAUUGUUGCGCUGUUGUUUAGACGAAUUAUAUAAUACACAUAAUCUAUUUUCAGCCUUGUAUCAACAUCACUGCUGGUGAUCCGAUGGAAAACAAAAUUGUUAUCGAGUCGUCACUGGUUCAGACGCACUUAUAAUAUAAUUAUUUCUGUGACUGCAUCUUACAUUAAUUUGUAGGAUCCUUUACAAAAGAUAAUUCAGCUGAUCUGUAACAAUUCUAUCUUCAUGCCUAAUACAUCAUGUACUGUGUUACGACGCUAGAUAAAAACUGUCAAGGAAAGGUAACACACGGCCACCGAAAUCUUUAUAGAGCCUAAGUGAUUGAGUGGUCUAGCGCGUCGGGCAUAGUGCAAGGCGAUUUGGUGCCACGAUAUCUCAAUAGCAUGAAUUUGAAUCCCGGGCAUAGUGCAAGGCUUCCGCAAAUUUACAGAUCUAACAUUGUUGGGCUGUUGUUUAGACGAAUUCUAUAAUAUAUAUCAUAUAUAAAUGUGCUUGAUCUAAAUAGAAAAAAUAUAGAUCUUUAAUAUCUUGCUUAAAUGCUUAAAACAAACUGAAAAAAAAAAGAAUUGAAUACCCAAAAAUAGGAGAUUAGAAUUUGUCAUCAUUAAAACAAAAGAUUCGUUGGAAGUAUAAAAGAAAUAUGUCAGAUAAUGUAUAAUAAAAAAAUACAAGAAGAUUGAUAAUUGCUUAUUAUUAUUUCUUGUUGACUGUCGUGACACGUAUAUCACGCGAUCCUAUGAUUUUGCGCCAAUUGGCAUUUCAUUUGCGCCAGAAACUAUAUUUCGUUUGCGCUAAAAUAAAACAUUUCAUUUGCCCCAUAC
rnacentral:lncRNA from 1 species